rnacentral:rRNA from 1 species
GACGAACGCUGGCGGCGUGCUUAACACAAGCCAGUCGAACGGUGAAGCGCCUUCCUUUUUGGUGGGUGUGGAUGAGUGGCGAACGGGUGAGUAACACGUGAGUAACCUGCCCCCUUCUUCUGGAUAACCGCAUGAAAGUGUGGCUAAUACGGGAUAUUCUGGGUCUGUCGCAUGAUGGGUCUGGGAAAGAUAUUGUUUCGGUGGGGGAUGGGCUCGCGGCCUAUCAGCUUGUUGGUGGGGUGAUGGCCUACCAAGGCGGUGACGGGUAGCCGGCCUGAGAGGGUGGACGGUCACACUGGGACUGAGACACGGCCCAGACUCCUACGGGAGGCAGCAGUGGGGAAUAUUGCACAAUGGGCGCAAGCCUGAUGCAGCGACGCCGCGUGAGGGAUGGAGGCCUUCGGGUUGUGAACCUCUUUCGCCAGUGAAGCAGGCCUGCCUCGUUUGUGGGUGGGUUGACGGUAGCUGGAUAAGAAGCGCCGGCUAACUACGUG